UUUGAUGAGAAGGGGUUCAAGGCUGUGAUGAAAGAGGGUAUGCAUUUAGCAGCAGCUCCUAACAUUGGUGAUUAUAUUCCUUAUGUUGGUGCACUUGACCUUAAAGGGCUAAAAAAGAGAAUGAAGGUGGUGAACAAAAUCUUUGAUGACUUCUUUGACAGAGUUAUUGAUGAGCAUAUGAAAUCAGAUAGCAGAGAAGACAAAAUCAAGGAUUUUGUGGAUGUCAUGUUAGGCUUUGUUGGUACCGAAGAAUCUGAAUACCGUAUCGACCGUCCCAACAUCAAAGCCAUAUUGCUGGUAAAUGGAAUUACAUUGUUGAGCUUUUCCUCAUACUAAUAUAUAUACUACACACAGCUACACACACAUAUAUAUAUACCUUUUAAGGUUAAAUACUUAACAUAAGAGCUGCAAGCACUGUCAUGGAAUUAAUGCUUUAGAAAAUACAUAAACCUAUGAUAAAGGCACAUAAAAAGCUUAAAUAAGCUUUUAGUCGAUGAAAGUAUACUAAGUUUUGGUUUUAGUCCAUAUCUUUAAUAUUGAUCAGUCAAUGAUGAAAAGCGUAUUUAAGCUUGUAUCACACAGUUUAAAUGGGAGGGGAAAAGGUAGAGGAUGAAUCUACACAUCAGAAUCACACACCUAAGUUUAAAGCUUUGGAGUGAUAUUAAUUGAUCUACAAGAGUGUUGGCUCCUUAAACUGACUUUCAAAACUACAUGUCACAGGUCUCAAUUUACAUGUUCCUCUGACACUGUUGUGAUUCUUUUUAUAUUUUUUGCAUAGGAUAUGCUGGCAGGUUCAAUGGACACUUCUGCUACAGCAAUUGAGUGGGCGUUUUCAGAGCUCAUGAGGCAUCCAAGGGUGAUGAAGAAACUUCAAAUGGAAUUGGAAACUGUGGUUGGUAUGAAGAGGAAGGUGGAUGAAUCAGACUUGGACAAGCUGGGGUAUUUGAACAUGGUUAUAAAGGAAAGCAUGAGGCUCCAUCCAGUGGCACCGUUAUUAAUACCACACCAAUCUAUGGAAGAUUGCAUAGUUGAAGAUUAUUUCAUACCAAAAAAAUCCAAGGUUAUAAUAAAUGCAUGGGCAAUUAUGAGAGACCCAAGUGCUUGGUCUGACCCAGAAAAGUUCUGGCCAGAGAGGUUUGAGGGAAGCAACAUCGAUGUCAGAGGGCGUGACUUCCAACUGAUACCAUUUGGGUCUGGAAGAAGGGGCUGUCCUGGACUGCAAUUAGGUCUAACUAUGGCUCAUUUAGUGGUGGCACAGCUUGUGCAUUGCUUUGAUUGGAAGCUAACAAAUGACAUGUUGCCAAUUGAUUUGGACAUGACUGAGCAUUUUGGCCUCUCAAUGCCUAGGGCCAAGCAUCUAGUUUGUAUUCCGGCUUAUCGGCUUCAUGAUGAAAAGGAUUAGGGAAAGAUGUAUUAAGUAACAUUUUAUGUUUCAUUAGAUCGAUAUGAAUAAGGUUAAGGGUAAAAUAAAUCAUCCUGUAUUCCUUUCCCUUCCUUCUCACAUUAAGAAUUGCAUUUCUAUCUAUGAAAAAUAUUGUUUUUCUUGCAUAGUGGAGACAAGACACGAAAACCAUAUGUUUGACCACUACUACUUUCAAACCAAUAAGAAGAAUAAGAAUUCCUUAUGUUCUUUUUAUCACAAUGUGGCUCCGUUCCCAGUGUUUCUUUGCAAAUAGCUUAAAUCCCAUUGAUUCCAUCUUAAAAAAUUUCUUCAUGAGUUAGUAGUCCUUGCUUAGAAUGAGAAGUCAAGUCAUCUAGCAUAUCAUAUAUAUGCAAGGUUUCAGGGUGAUCUCUAUCUUCAACAGUAAAUAUAAGAGAUUUCCCGUUCACUUGAAUAAUGCUUUGUCCGGGAGAUUUCCUCACUUGAAGAUAUCUCAUCUUUCUUCUUAUAGCUGCAACUCCAUCCCACAUUUCAGCAGUUGCAUAUAUGUUAGCCAUCUCCACGUAUGGAACUGCCACAUGGGGCUCCAGUUCAAAUAGCCGUUCAGACACAUACUUGCCCAACUCCAUCUUACCAUGAAGUUUGCAAGCAGAUAGUAAUGCACUCCAUAUGCCAGCAUCUGGUCGAAGAGGCAUACUUUCAAUAAUUUCUAAAGCUUCUCCAAGUUGUCCUCUACGACCAAGAAGAUCAACCAUACACGAAUAAUGGUCUAUACCAGGGCAUAUGCCAUAUUUUUUAGUCAUCAUGUUGAAGUACUCCAAUCCUCUACCGAGUAAACCUCCAUGUGCACAAGCUUGGAGAACUGCAAGAAAUGUUACGUGGUUUGGUUUCAUUCCCAUGUCCAACAUCAUAGAGAAGAGAUUAAGAGCAUCAUUGACAUCUCCAUUUAAAGCACAAGCAGUAAUCAUGGUUGUCCAGGAGACAACAGUUUUGUUAGCCAUGUUGCAGAAAAGCUCCCGAGAAUCAUUAAAACUUCCACACUUUGCAUACAUGUCAAUUAGUGCGUUACAGACUACAACAUUAUUUUUCAAUCCUUUGUCAAUAGAGUAUUUGUCAAUCCAUUUUCCAAGUUCAAGUGCCCCUGUUUGGCCACAACCCGAAAUCAAAGCAAGCACAGUAACCAUAUCUGGUUUCUCACCGGUAGCUUCCAUUGUAUUAAACAAUGUCAAUGCCUCGUCCAUGUAUCCUUUCUCAGCAUACGCACUAAUAAUUACAGUCCAUGAUAUACAAGUUCUGUUAGACAUGCCAUCAAACAAAAACCGUGCAGAAUAAACAUCCCCACACUUGGAAUACAUAGAAAUAAGAGUAUUCACCACACAUACAUCAUAAUCACAACCCAACUGAACUCCAUGAGAAUGUAUUAGCAAACCUUGAAAUAAUGCUUUAGGCUGCACAAAUGACGAAAGUAAAUUCAGAAUUGUGCUAAUGUCAGGGGAAAACCCAUCAUCUAGCAUCCCUUCGUAACAAUAAAAAGCCUUGACAUCCUUUUCAAAAUUUGCAUAUGCCGCAAUCAUGGAAUUCCAUGAGACAACAGACCUCAGAUAACAAUCAAUAUCAUCAAACACUCUUUCCGCUGAACAUAAGUCCCCACAUUUGGCAUAUGCAGCAACUAAAGUGUUAGCUAUAGAAACGUCAACACAAACUCCAGCACAAAUCCCAAAAGAAUGUAUCACACUCACGAGUUUCGGAUUUUCCAAAUGCGAAAUCGCAUGAAUCAGGAGCAAGACAGUGACCGAAUCAGGAUGAAUCCCAGUAAGUCUCAUCUGGUAUAAAAGACACAACAAUCUAUCAACAUACCCAUGCUGAGCAAAACCUAACAGCAUUGCAUUCCAAGAAGCAAUGUCUCUCAUGGGCAUGUCAACAAACACAUUGUAUGCACAUUCCAAUUCACCACAUUUAAUGUACAUAUCAACCAUGGAAGUUUGCACAAAAACAUUCCAUCGAAACCAUGAUUUGGCAACAUGGGCAUGGAUAAUUUGUGAGUUCCUAAGAUGGGAUAAUCUAGCACAGGCUUUUGCUACAAAGGGAAAAGUUGAAUUGUUGGGUGUAACGCCACUUCGCUUCAUUUGGCGGAAAAGAAAAAGGGCUUUUUGGGCAUGGCCUUGAUUCACAGCUUGUCUUAUAUUGGAGUUCCAAAUGGAAAGGGUUGAGAAAUUUGAUAAACGGUUCAUGUAAAGAGAAACAGUAUAUAUAUCUUAGUAGUAGGGGAUUCUAUUCAACAAGUUAAAACCCACCAAUCAACUUCAUAUGACAAUUUGAUGAGUUUAAAAUCUGGAUAAAACCCCAAACAAGACACAUUAUUUAUGUUUUAUUACUAAGAAAGUGUUCUCCAAUUCAAAGUUAGUAUCACUGUUGGCAACUGAAUUCGUUGGUGUUGCCUCAUAAGAAGACUGAAACGAAAGUAUGAAACCAUAAACACUGCGAUGCUGAUGCAGACAAUUUCCUUAAAAGCUCUAAUACAUUCCUUUCUUUUGGUCUAGUAGUAGCAGUACAAACAUCUACAAGUUCGGGUUUGCAGAAUACCUUUUUGGUUCUCAUUUAGGAUUGUAUUUAGGGGUUAAAAUGUGCUUUAACUCAAUAAGGUUUAGUGGUGUAAGGCUACUAAAAUGUCAAUGGUUUGAAUCUGAUGAAGAACACUUAUUAUGGUACACAUCUGUUGUAUUAUAAGGUGUAUUACUGCAUGUGUCAUGGACUUAUUGAACAAUUCCUCAAGACCCAUGAUCAUGUCUUUGCUAGUAGACCACCUGUUGAGGCUGCAAAGUAUAUAGCUUGGGAGCAGAAGAACUUGACCUUUGGUGAAUAUGGCUCCUAUUGGCGCAACAUGCGUAAAAUGUGCACCUUGGAACUACUAAGCCAUAGCAAAAUCAUCUCCUUCAAAAGCAUGAGGCAAGAGGAGCUUGACCUCUUCAUAAAGCUUCUAAGAGAUGCAGCUAAUGAUAUUGCUGCUGUUGAUAUAAGUGCCAAGAUUUCAACACUUGCUGCAGGUAUGAGCUGUAGAAUGGUUCUAGGGAGAAAGUACAUGGAUAACGAGUUUGAUGAGAAGGGGUUCAAGGCUGUGAUGAAAGAGGGUAUGCAUUUAGCAGCAGCUCCUAACAUUGGUGAUUAUAUUCCUUAUGUUGGUGCACUUGACCUUAAAGGGCUAAAAAAGAGAAUGAAGGUGGUGAACAAAAUCUUUGAUGACUUCUUUGACAGAGUUAUUGAUGAGCAUAUGAAAUCAGAUAGCAGAGAAGACAAA
rnacentral:lncRNA from 1 species